CCAGACUCCUACGGGAGGCAGCAGUAGGGAAUCUUCCGCAAUGGGCGAAAGCCUGACGGAGCAACGCCGCGUGAGUGAAGAAGGUCUUCGGAUCGUAAAACUCUGUUAUUAGGGAAGAACAAAUGUGUAAGUAACUAUGCACGUCUUGACGGUACCUAAUCAGAAAGCCACGGCUAACUACGUGCCAGCAGCCGCGGUAAUACGUAGGUGGCAAGCGUUAUCCGGAAUUAUUGGGCGUAAAGCGCGCGUAGGCGGUUUUUUAAGUCUGAUGUGAAAGCCCACGGCUCAACCGUGGAGGGUCAUUGGAAACUGGAAAACUUGAGUGCAGAAGAGGAAAGUGGAAUUCCAUGUGUAGCGGUGAAAUGCGCAGAGAUAUGGAGGAACACCAGUGGCGAAGGCGACUUUCUGGUCUGUAACUGACGCUGAUGUGCGAAAGCGUGGGGAUCAAACAGGAUUAGAUACCCUGGUAGUCCACGCCGUAAACGAUGAGUGCUAAGUGUUAGGGGGUUUCCGCCCCUUAGUGCUGCAGCUAACGCAUUAAGCACUCCGCCUGGGGAGUACGACCGCAAGGUUGAAACUCAAAGGAAUUGACGGGGGCCCGCACAAG
rnacentral:rRNA from 1 species